UUUUCCACUAGGCGAAAUUUUUCGAUGGAACCGAAAUUUCUAUUGUUCAAAUUCAAAAGAUUUCUGUUUAGUUCCAUCUGAGUGCUUGUAGGACAAAAGAAAAUUUCGAUUCGAUCGAAAAAUUUCGCCUAGUGGAAAACCGCCGUUACAGACACAUCAUGAAACAGGCUGUAAUAGCAUUAACCUUUUGGGGUUAAAAAACUACUGUCUGCUCUAAUACCAAAACAUACCGGUGUGGCCGGAAAAUUAUAUAGAUCUAGCCAAUCCUAGUUGAGCCAAUGAAGGUUUUUCGUAGGCGCUUCUUUUGUUUUAGU